rnacentral:lncRNA from 1 species
UCCCUUUCACCGUCAUCCAUGAGAAGACACAGUGUUCCAUCCAGAGGAUGUAGCAUCAAGGCGUCAUCUUAAAAGCAGAGAAAAGACUCUUACUUGACACCAGAUGCCAGUGCAUUGAUCUUGGACUUCCCAGCCUCUAGAACUAUUUAGUUCAGCCUGGUGUGGAUGCAUUUCAGAAUCUGUGAAAAAUGGAAUCACAAUGCUGUGACAGCAGCAUUUCUGCCUGUGGUAUCUGUGAAGCAGGUAAACAGCCCUGGGACAAAGAACAGACUACGGGUAUUGCCUUCUUAAUCAACAAUAAAGUAUUAGUUGGCUUCCAGGCAGACACCACUGACUUUCAAGAGAAAGGCACGGGAGUAAGGAAGUAAAGAAUUCAGGUGCUGCUUGAAAAUACAACAAACUGUCUUCAGAAUACUUUUAUGUGUUGUUGAAAGAAAGCACUGCAGCUAAUAUAGCUACAAAGGAGAAACAGUUAUUCUUAAAUGUCAUCUAUUUGCUGGACCUGAACAGGAAUUCACUAUGGAGCUCAUACAACUACCACCUUCAGCUAUUAAUCAAGGAGUCAUUCAACUGAGAAAGGGGAGAUUGAGAUGUUGAAUCAUUUCUCAUUCUGUGAAGUCUACCAGAAUAACCCAUAAAGCAAAUAUCAACCUAUUUCAAUUAGAAAAAUGAAAAAUACUGAUACAGCAGACGAAUUCUGGAACUAACACUUCCACAAAUCAUUGAUAAUCCAUUUUCCAACUUCUUCAAAUUCCAGACCAUCAACAAGCUAUUCAAAACAAUAAAUGUUAAUAGUUUUGGUGGAGUUAAGCAGCAGAAGUUAAAAGCAUUGUGGAAGACAGUAUGGUGAUUCCUCAAGGAUCUAGAAGCGGAAAUACCAUUUGACCCAGCAAUCCCAU